AAGCAGGGGAUCGCAAGACCUUGCGCUUUUGGAGCGGCCGAUGUCUGAUUAGCUAGUUGGUGAGGUAAAGGCUUACCAAGGCUUCGAUCAGUAGCUGGUCUGAGAGGACGACCAGCCACACUGGGACUGAGACACGGCCCAGACUCCUACGGGAGGCAGCAGUGGGGAAUUUUGGACAAUGGGGGCAACCCUGAUCCAGCCAUGCCGCGUGAGUGAAGAAGGCCUUCGGUUGUAAAGCUCUUUCAGCCGGAACGAAAAGGGUACGGUUAAUACCCGUGACUAAU
rnacentral:rRNA from 1 species